rnacentral:rRNA from 1 species
AUUGAACGCUGGCGGCAGGCCUAACACAUGCAAGUCGAACGAGGAGCGGACGGGUGGGUCAUGUAGGAGAAACUGAUCGCUAGCGGGGGAUAAAUACUGGAAACGGUAGCUAAUACCGCAUACCAUCGGAUGUGCCCAGAUGGGAUUAGCUAGGAGGUGGGGUAAAGGCUAACAUCGGCGACGAUCCCUAGCUGGUCUGAGAGGAUGAACAGCCACACGGGAACUGAGACACGGUCCAUACUCCUACGGGAGGCAGCAGUGGGGAAUAUUGCACAAUGGGCGCAAGCCUGAUGCAGCCAUGCCGCGUGUAUGAAGAAGGCCGUCGGGUUGUAAAGUACUUUCAGCGGGGAGGCGUUACCCGCAGAAGAAGCACCGGCUAACUCCGUGCCAGCAGCCGCGGUAAUAC